rnacentral:tRNA from 1 species
GGGUAGGUGGCCGAGCCGGUUUAAGGCGCCGGAUUCCUAAUCCGGUGAAGCAUAAAAACUUCCGCGGGUUCGAAUCCUGCCCUACCCG